GACGAACGCUGGCGGCGUGCUUAACACAUGCAAGUCGAACGGAAAGGCUCCAGCUUGCUGGAGUACUCGAGUGGCGAACGGGUGAGUAACACGUGGGUAAUCUGCCCUGCACUCUGGGAUAAGCCUGGGAAACUGGGUCUAAUACUGGAUAUGACCUUUCUCCUUAUGGGGUUUGGUGGAAAGUUUUUCGGUGUAGGAAGAGCCCGCGGCCUAUCAGCUUGUUGGUGGGGUGAUGGCUUACCAAGGCGACGACGGGUAGCCGGCCUGAGAGGGUGAUCGGCCACAUUGGGACUGAGAUACGGCCCAGACUCCUACGGGAGGCAGCAGUGGGGAAUAUUGCACAAUGGGCGGAAGCCUGAUGCAGCGACGCCGCGUGAGGGAUGACGGCCUUCGGGUUGUAAACCUCUUUCAGCAGGGACGAAGCGUAAGUGACGGUACCUGCAGAAGAAGCACCGGCUAACUAUGUG
rnacentral:rRNA from 1 species